UACGGAGGGGACUAGCGUUGUUCGGAAUUACUGGGCGUAAAGCGGGUGUAGGCGGCUCUAUAAGUCAGGAGUGAAAUCCCCGAGCUUAACUUGGGAAGUGCUUUUGAUACUGCAGAGCUUGAAUGUGGGAGAGGUUAGUGGAAUUCCAAGUGUAGUGGUGAAAUACGUAGAUAUUUGGAGGAACACCGGUGGCGAAGGCGGCUAACUGGCCCAACAUUGACGCUGAGACCCGAAAGCAUGGGGAUCAAACAGG
rnacentral:rRNA from 1 species